rnacentral:rRNA from 1 species
CCUACGGGUGGCAGCAGUGGGGAAUAUUGGACAAUGGGGGCAACCCUGAUCCAGCCAUGCCGCGUGUGUGAAGAAGGCCCUCGGGUUGUAAAGCACUUUCAGUGAGGAAGAACGCCUGGUGGUUAAUACCCAUCAGGAAAGACAUCACUCACAGAAGAAGCACCGGCUAACUCCGUGCCAGCAGCCGCGGUAAUACGGAGGGUGCGAGCGUUAAUCGGAAUUACUGGGCGUAAAGCGCGCGUAGGUGGCUUGAUAAGCCGGUUGUGAAAGCCCCGGGCUCAACCUGGGAACGGCAUCCGGAACUGUCAAGCUAGAGUGCAGGAGAGGAAGGUAGAAUUCCCGGUGUAGCGGUGAAAUGCGUAGAGAUCGGGAGGAAUACCAGUGGCGAAGGCGGCCUUCUGGACUGACACUGCCACUGAGGUGCGAAAGCGUGGGUAGCAAACAGGAUUAGAUACCCUAGUAGUC